rnacentral:tRNA from 1 species
GGGGUUGUAGCUCAGUUGGGAGAGCGCUUGAAUGGCAUUCAAGAGGUCAGGGGUUCGACUCCCCUCAGCUCCA